ACACUAGAACCUAUCCCACCCUCUAGAACAGUGUAUUAGAUAAUCUAGGGGAACUCCUAGUGGGAAUCAAAUCUAAGAUGUCUAGGUCUACAACUCAUCCCAAGCCUCCAACCACUAGGUUGCACCCUGACAGGAAGCUUAUCUAUGGGCACUUAUAUAGGAAACAAUGUAUAUCUCUGUAGGGCUUUAGGAUUCAAAUUCUAAACAGCAAA